rnacentral:tRNA from 1 species
GCCAUGACCGGAUAGUUCAGUUGGUUAGUGUGUGGUGCUGGUAACACCAAGGUUGCAGGUUCAAUCCCCACAAGGGACAGCGGCA